rnacentral:lncRNA from 1 species
ACAUGGUAUGAUUGUUGGGGUUGCUGGAAAAUUAUUUGUUGUGGUUGUUGGGGAAAUGGUUGUUGUGGUAGUUUGGGGAAUGGUUGUUUCGGUUGCAGAGGGAAUGGUUGUUGUGGUUGCUGCGAGAAUGAUUGUUGUGGUUGCUGCGCAAUUGGUUGUUGGGGCUGCAGAAAUGGUUGUUGUGGUUGCCAGGGGAAUGGUUGUUGUGGUUGCAGGGGAAAUGGUUGUUGAGGCUGGGGAAAUGGUUGUUGUGGUUGCGAGGGGAAUGUUUGUUUGGGCUGAGGAAAAGGUUGUUGUGGUUGCUGGGGGAAUGGUUGUUGUGGUUGCUGGGGUAUUGUUUGUUGUGGUUGCUGGGUGAAUGGUUGUUGUGGUUGGUAGGGAAUUGGUUGUUGGGGCUGGGGAAAUGGUUGUUGUGGUUGCGAGGGGAAUGGUUGUUAGGGCUGAGGAAACGGUUGUUGUGGUUGCUGGAGGAAUGGUUGUUGUGGUUUCUCGGGAAUUAUUUGUUGUGGUUGUUGGGGGAAUGGUUGUUGUGGUUGCUGGAGAAUUGGUUCUUGGGGCUGCGGAAAUGGUUGUUGUGGUUGCCAGGGGGAUGGUUGUUGGGGCCGAGGAAGAGGUUGUUGGGGUGGUUGGGGGAAUGGUUGUUGUGGUUGUAGGGGGGUUGGUAUUUGAUAUUNNNNNNNNNNNNNNNNNNNNNNNNNNNNNNNNNNNNNNNNNNNNNNNNNNNNNNNNNNNNNNNNNNNNNNNNNNNNNNNNNNNNNNNNNNNNNNNNNNNNCCACCCUCUCGUGGGUCUUUGCUUCAUAAAUCAUUAUAAUUCCCAUAAAGAAUUCACAAAAAAAAUUGUCCAAUUCCGAGAACUUUUAUUUAUGCAUAAAAUAUAUUGAAGGUAGUUCCGUAGAAAAGAGCACCAGUGCGGGUUAGUUUUAUUCAAAUCAUGCAAAUUAGAGUCCAAAAAAAGAACAAAAGUGUUUGGAAAAGUAGAUACAUUGGAGACGUAUCAGCCAUCGACAAGGAGGAACACCCUUGUACUAUCAUUAUGCUCUGAUAAUUGUUAUGUCAUGCAGAUGGCUAGGCUGAGGCACUGCAUAUGUAGGGUGAAGAUGGUUUAGAUAUGAAAUCAUGUCCCUCAGGCCCUAGUAGCAAGCAUUAAGCAUGGCAAGGUCACAGGAACAUCAAUCUCAUAACAUAGUGGAUACUAGGGAUCAAGCCAUAUCAAAAUAACUCGAUUACAAGACAAAUAUUAUCCAAUCCAGCUAGCAUACAAAGGAAUUACUCACUCCCGUUGAAGAGCAUCAAGAUGGUGUUGAUAGAGAAGGGUUGGUCAUGACGACAAUGAUGAAUCUCCCUCUCCGGAGCCCCAAACUGACUCCAGAUCAUCCCUCUUGUGGACGAACGGGAGGUGGCAACAGCUCCAUCUCAUAGAACGCAAUGAAAACUUCUCUCCUACUUUUCUCCGGAAAUAAGAAUUUAUAGGAUUGGAAUUAGGGUAUGUGGAGCCACGAGGUGGUCACAAGCCAAGAGGGCGCGCUUAGGGGGGUGGUCGCACCCUGUUUUUCUUGGCACCAACAGNNNNNNNNNNNNNNNNNNNNNNNNNNNNNNNNNNNNNNNNNNNNNNNNNNNNNNNNNNNNNNNNNNNNNNNNNNNNNNNNNNNNNNNNNNNNNNNNNNNNAGAGGCAAGACCUAGAUUAUGUGUGUAGUGUAAAGUAAAAAAAAUGACUCAUCAUUCAUUAUGGAUCAUGACUUACAACCAGAUGAUAUUUGCAAAAAAAACAACUAUGUUGAGCAAUCCAAAAUCACACAAGUAAAGUAGUACCACCAAACACAACAUACCAAACGAUUAGUUGGAUAAUCUUAGGAGUACUUUUUCGAAAAGCAAGGGCAAGGAUGGAAUUAAACCAUACCAUGAUAGCUAUAAAUAAACAUGCACCAUCAUGGUUACCUUCCAUCAUCCAAACUUUACACACCAAGAUCAGAAACAUCUAUUCCAAGCAAGCAAUAGUAACCAAAAAUCCAACAUGAAGACGUUCCUCACCUUUGUCCUCCUUGCCAUGGCGAUGAGCAUCGUCACUACCGCUGGGCAGCUAAACCCUAGCUACCAAGAGUUGCAAUCACCACAACAACCAUUUCUGAAACAACAAUCAUAUCUGCAGCAACCAUAUCCACAACAACCAUAUCUACCGCAGCAACCAUUCCCCACACCCCAACAAUUUUUCCCCUAUCUACCACAGCAAACAUUUCCCCCAUCCCAACAACCAAACCCCCUACAACCACAACAACCAUUCCCCCUGCAACCCCAACCACCACAACAACCUUUUCCUCAGUCCCAACAACCAUUCACCUGGCAACCACAACAACCUUUUUCCCAGCCCCAACAACCAAUUCCCCAGCAACCACAACAACCGUUCCCCUAGCAACCACAACAAAUAAUUCCCCAACAACCACAACAACCAUUCUCCCUGCAACCCCAACAACCACAUCAACCUUUUCCUCGGCCCCAACAACCAUUCCCCUGGCAACCACAACAACCAUUUUCCCGGCCCCACCAACCAAUUCCCCAGGAACCACAACAACCAUUCCCCCAGCAACCACAACAAAUAGUACCCCAGCAACCACAACAACCAUUCCCCCAGCAACCACAACAACCUUNNNNNNNNNNNNNNNNNNNNNNNNNNNNNNNNNNNNNNNNNNNNNNNNNNNNNNNNNNNNNNNNNNNNNNNNNNNNNNNNNNNNNNNNNNNNNNNNNNNNGAGGUGUAAACGAUAGAUGUGAAUAGACCUGGGGGCCGUAGUGUUUACUAGUGGCUUCUCUCAUGAAAGCAAGUAGACGGUGGGUGAACAAAUUACUGUCGAGCAAUUGAUAGAACCGCGCAAAGUCGUGACAAUAUCUAUGCAAUGAUUAUAUCUAUAGGCAUCAUGUCCAAAACAAGUAGACCGAUACUUUCUGCAUCUACUACUAUUACUCCACACAUCGACCGCUAUCCAGCAUGCAACUAGUGUAUUAAGUCCAUAAGAACAGAGUAAUGCCUUAAGCAAGAUGACAUGAUGUAGAGGGAUAAUCUCAAACCAAUGAUAAAAACCCCGUCUUUUUACCCUUGAUGGCAACUACUUGAUGUGUGCCUUGCUACCCCUACUGUCACUGGGAAAGGUCACCACAUGGCAGAACCCAAAACCAAGCACUUCUCCCAUUGCAAGAAUCAUAGAUCUAGUUGGCCAAACAAAACCCAAGACUUCGAGAGACUUACAAGGAUAUCAAAUCAUGCAUAUAAGAAAUCAACAAAUACUCAAAUAUAUAUCAUAGAUAAUCUGAUCACAAAUCCACAAUUCAUCGGAUCUCGACAAACACACCGCCAAAGAAGAUUACAUCGGAUAGAUCUCCAUGAAGAUCAUGGAGAACUUUGUAUUGAAGAUCCAAGAGAGAUAAGAAGCCAUCUAGCUACUAACUACGGAUCUGUAGGUCUGAAGUGAACUACUCAUGAGUCAUUGGAGGGGCGAUGAUGAUGAUGAAGAAGCCCUCCAACUCCANNNNNNNNNNNNNNNNNNNNNNNNNNNNNNNNNNNNNNNNNNNNNNNNNNNNNNNNNNNNNNNNNNNNNNNNNNNNNNNNNNNNNNNNNNNNNNNNNNNNUCACAGGCCCCCUGAUCUUCUUCCGUUCGGGAAAAAAUCAUUUCGGGGAUUUUAUUCCGUUUGGAGUCCGUUCUAAAAUCAGAUCUAAAAAGAGCCAAAAAGACAGAAAAAGAGGAAUUGGCAAUUGGCACUGAAUUAAUAAGUUAGUCCCAAAAAAAUAUAAAAGGUACAUAAAACAUCCAAAGAUGACAAGAUAACAGCAUGAAACCAUCAAAAAUUAUAGAUACGUUUGAGACGUAUCAAGCAUCCCCAAGCUUAACUCCUGCUCGUCCUCGAGUAGGGAAGUGAUAAAGAAUGAAUUUUUGAUGCUUUCNNNNNNNNNNCUUAUGUGACGUGAAAGUUCAGAUCCAUUAGAUUCAAAACAAUAGUUUGCUAUUGACGUGGAAACAAUAAUACUUCAAGCAAACUAGCAAGGUAAUCAUGAACUUUCAAAAUAACAAGGCCAAAAGAAAGUUAUCCCUACAAAAGCAUAUAGUCUGGCUAUGCUCUAUCAUCAUUGCACAACGAAUUUAAAUCAUGCACAACCCCGGUAUUGGCCAAGUAAUUGUUUCACACCUUUACUUUCUCAAACCUUUUCAACUCUCACGCAAUACAUGAGCGUGAGCCAUGGUUUAUAGCACUAUAGAUGGUGUGGAGUGUGGUGGAGGUUGCAAGACAAAAAAGGAGAAGAUAGUCACAUUAACUAGGCAUAUCAAUGAGCUAUGGAGAUGCUCAUAAAUAGAUAUCAAUGUGAAUGAGUAGGGAUUUCCAUACAAAUGAUGCACUAGAGCUACGAGUAAGUGAAACCUCUUAAAGAAAACUAGUGUGUGUGCAUCCAACUUGCUUGCUCACGAAGACCUAAGGCAAUUUUGAGGAAGCCUAUCAUUGGAAUAUACAAGCCAAGUUAUAUAACGAAAAUUUCCCACUAGCUAUAUGGUGGUGACAGAACGAGAGACUCUCAAUCAUGAAGAUCAUGGUGCUUAAUAUGCACAAGUGUGGAAAAAGUGGUAGCAUUGUCCCUUCUCUCUUUUUCUCUCAUUUAUUUUGGUGGGCUCUUUGGCCUCUUUUUUUGGUUGGCUUCUUUGGCCUCUUUUAUUUCCUCACAUGGGACAAUGCUUCAUUAAUGAUGAUCAUAACACUUUCAACUCAAAACUUAGAGCAACAAUGACUCUAUAUGGAAUGCCUUCGGUAGUGUACCGUGGCAAUGAUCUAGCAUGGCAUAGACAUUAAUGGAAACAUUAUGCUAGCUAUCUUGCGAUCAUGCAAUGGAAAUGUAGACGUGGUGGCACAUGUCAUGGUGGUAGUUGCAUGGCAAUAUAUCUCGGAAUGACUUUGAAAGAGCAUGGUAGUUAGGUAUGGUGGAUGUUCUGAUGGAGGCUAAUGGUGGGUUUUGUGCACCGGCGGAAGUUGCACGGCACUAAAGAAGAUAGUGAUGGUGGAAGGUGAAAGUGCAUCUUAACCAUGGACUCAACAUUAGUCAUGAAGAACUCAUAUACUUGUUGCAAAAGUUUUAUUAGUAAUUGAAACAAAGAAUUCAACGCAUACUCCUAGGGGAAGGGUUGGUAGGUAUAAACCAUCGCNNNNNNNNNNUGCAAAGGAUGACAAUCAAUAGACUAAUCAUGCUCAGAUUUCAUCACAUAGCGGUUCACCAUACGUGCAUGCUACGGGAAUCACUAACUUCAACACAAGUAUUUCUAGAUCCAGAACACCUUACUAGCAUGACUUUAAUAUUACCAUAACCACAACUCAAAACUAAUUGAGAUAAAUCAAACUUCUCUAACUAUUCAAUGCACAUGAAGGUGGAAGUUUUCGUAUCCCUUUGGAUAACUACCCGUUUUGAGUCUACUUUCAAAACAUAGAUACACUACCAAGCCACGCACCGCUGUGCUCUAAAAUAUAUAAGUGAUGCACACAGAGCAAAAGUAUCUAGCUCAAAAGAUAUAAGUGAAGCACAUGUGAGCUGAAUUGUCUACCAAAAGAUAUAAGUGAAGCUCGACAAAAUCACAGUGAGUGCAUGUCUCUCUCUCUCUAGGUGUGCAGCAAGGAUGAUUGUGACACAACAAAAAUAAAAGACUCCUACGAUACAAGACACUCCAAGCAAAAACACAUAACAUGUGGUGAAUAAAAAUAUAGCCCCAAGUAACAUUAUCGAUGGAUUGAAGACGAGAGAGGGGAUGCCUUCCCGGGGCAUCCCCAAGCUUAGGCUUUUACGGAAUCCUUGAAUCUCUUGGGGUGCCUUGGGCAUCCCCAAGCUUGAGCUCUUUCCACUCAUUAUCUCUUUCACCAUAAGAACUUCACCCAAAACUUGAAAACUUCACAACACGAAACUUAAACAGAAACUCAUGAUAACAUUAGUAUGAGAAAGCAAACCACCAGUUCCUUAGGUACUGUAGAAAACUUAAAUUAUACAUAGGCUUAUGUUGGGUUACUGUAUUUUCAAUCUUCCAUGGCUAAUACCCCCCAAUACUAUCCAUAGUUUCAUCAAAAUAAGCAACCAACACAACAAAAACAGAAUAUGUUAACAGCAGACCAGUCUGUAGCAAUCUGUAUAUUGCGUAUACCUCUGGUACUUCAAAAAUUCUGAAAACUUACGACAGUCUGAAGAAUUUGCAUAGCAAUCAGCAGCAAAAAGAAUGAACUCAAAAGCUCUUACAGAAAAAAAAAUCUUUUCGUGAGCAGAAAGUUUCUGUCUUUUGCAGCAUGACCAAACGAUCAUUCCCAAGACUAAUCAUAACGGUUUUGCUUGGCACAAACGCAAAAAGAAACACAAAAAACACAAUCAUAACAAAAUUAUGAAAGUGUGGAAAACACAAAACAGAAAGAAAAAGGAUAGAUUCGUUGGGUUGCCUCCCAACAAGCGCUUUUGUUUAACGCCCUUAGUUAGGCGAAAGGUGAUGGAAUCACGUAUAGUCAUCUUUGGUGCUCAAACCAUAAGNNNNNNNNNNCCCUCUUCAUAGAUUCAUAAGGCAAUCUUAUUUUAUUUCUAGGAAAGUGCUCCAUGCCCUUCUUUAAAGGAAAUUGAAAUCUAAUGUUCUCUUCCUUCAUAUCGAUGAUAGCACCAAUAGUCCUUUGGAAAGGUCUACCAAGAAUAGUGGGACAUGAAGGGUUGCAAUCUAUGUCAAGUACAAUGAAAUCCACGGGUACAUAGUUCUUAUUUGCAACAAUAAGAACAUCAUCGAUCCUUCCCAUGGGUUUCUUGACAGUAGAAUCCGCAAGAUGCAAAUUAAGAGAACACUCUUCAAUCUCAUGAAAACCAAGAAUAUCACAUAAAGACUUUGGAAUCGCGGAAACACUAGCACCCAAAUCACACAAAGCAUUGCACUCAUAGUUUUUGAUCUUGAUUUUGAUAGUAGGUUCCCACUCAUCAUGAAGUUUUCUAGGUAUAGAGACUUCUAGUUCGAGCUUCUCUUGAAGAGAUUUCAUCAUAGCAUCUACGAUAUGCGCGGGAAAGGCUUUGCUUUGGCUAUAAGCAUUUGGAGAGUUUGCAAUGGAUUGCAUCAAAGAAAUGCAUUCAAACAAGGAGCAAUUAUCAUAAUUGAAUUCCUUGAAAUCCAAAGUGGGAGUUUCAUUACUAUCCAAAAUUUUGACUUCUUCUACUCCACUCUCCACACCUUUAUCAUCAAGAUGGGUGGACUCCGAAUCAUUGGGGCGUUUUUCAACCCAAGUGGAUUCAUAUCCAGGCCCUACAUAAAUAGGUUUGACACACGAAAACAAAGAUUAAAGAGGAGACACACCAAGCACUUUAAGAUCUUCGUGAUUUGCAUCACUAGAACGCACCCUUUUAAACCAUUCAUGCCUAGCGCGAAUUUGGGUGGUUCUUUCUUUGCUCUCAUUCAUGGAGACACGCAUAGCUUUCAAAGUUUCAUCCAAGUUGACCUUGGGAGGAGCGCAUCUAACUUUCAAAGCAUCAAUAUCACAAGACAUCCUAUCAAUGCUCUUAGCCAAAUCGUCAAUUUUGAGUAGUCUUUCCUCUAUGGACGCAUUGCAAAUCUUUUGAGAGUUAAUGAACUCUUUGAUAUUACUCUCUAAAUAAGAGGGUAAUUUGUUGUGAUUUCCAUAAGUGUUGUUGUAGGAACUGCCAUAAUUGUUAGAGGAGUUACUAGGAAAAGGCCUAGGAACAUAGUUUCCUCUAAAAGCAUUGUUGUUGCCAAAAUUGUUCGUACCAACAAAAUUCACGUCCAAACUAGCGUUGCUACUCUCAAUCAAAGAAGAUAGUGGCAAGUCAUUAGGAUCUACGGUAGCAUUUCUACUAGCAACCAAAUUCAUCAACUCGUCCAUCUUAGCACUGAGCGAGUUAAUUUCUUCUAUAGUGUGCACCUUUUUGCUAGCAGGCGACCUUUCAGUGUGCCACUGAGAGUAGUUGGUCAUGAUAUUGUCUAGGAGUUUUGUAGCGUCUCCUAACGUGAUUUCCAUGAACGUUCCACCUGAGGCGGAGUCCAAGAUAUUGCGAGAAGCGAAAUUCAAGCCAGCGUAAAAGAUUUGUAUAAUCAUCCACAAACUCAAGCCAUGAGCGGGACAAUUUCUAAUCAUAAGCUUCAUCCUCUCCCAAGAUUGUGCAACGUGUUCAUGAUCAAGUUGCUUGAAAUUCAUGAUAUCGUUGCGUAAGGAGAUGAUCUUAGCCGGUGGAAAAUACUUGGAUAUGUAAGCAUCUUUGCAAUUAUCCCAAGAAUCGAUACUAUUUUUAGGCAAAGAAGAAAACCAAGUUUUUGCGCGAUCUCGCAACGAGAAAGGANNNNNNNNNNUUUCAACUUAAUCACGUCAUUAUCCACAUCUCUUUUAUUUUGCAUAUCACAAAGCUCAAUGAAGGUAUUGAGAUGGGAUGCGGCAUCUUCACUAGGAAGGCCAGAGAAUUUCUCUUUCAUAACAAGAUUCAGCAAAGCUGCGUUGAUUUCAUACGAUUCCGCACUAGUCGUGGGAGCAAUCAGAGUACUAAUAAAAUCAUUAUUAUUACUGCUCGAGAAGUCGCAAAGUUUGGUGUUUUCAGCCAUGAUGACUUCAACAAACAAACAAGCACACAAGAAAGCAAGAAAACCGGCAAAGGGAAACGACAAAGUCAAAAAAGGCGAAGGAGAAAGGCAAAUGAAAACGACAAAUGUGAAGUGGGGGAGAGGAAAACGAGAGGCAACUGGCAACAAAAGUAAAUUCAAGAGAUGAGUUUGUGAGACCUACUUGGAUAGAUGUUGAUCUCUCCUCCCUGGCAACGGCGCCAGAAAUACUUCUGAUGUCAGCUGUGCUUCCCUGGUAACGGCGACAGGAAUAGUCGUGUCGACGGCACCAGGAAUCCUUCUGCUGCGGCUACGCCUUAAGGGACUUCCUAGGCAAAUAUGCAAAGGAUUUCCCCCGUGGCCUUGGAGCCUUGCGUUGGUGUUCCCUCGAAGCAGAAAGGGUGAUGUAGCAUAGCGGUGGUAAGUAUUUCCCUCAGUUUGAGAACCAAGAUAUCGAUCCAGUGGAGGAGUAUCACAAGAUCCUGCACAAACACAGAAAACUUGCUCCCAAUGCUAUGAAGGGUUGUCAAUCCCUUAUAGAUUGUUCGCCAAGUGAGAACUGAAAGCAACAAAGUAACAAAGAAAAGUAAAAGCGGAGGUGUAAACGAUAGAUGUGAAUAGACCCGGGGGCCGUAGUGUUUACUAGUGGCUUCUCUCAUGAAAGAAAGUAGACGGUAGGUGAACAAAUUACUGUCGAGCAAUUGAUAGAACCGCGCAAAGUCGUGAUGUCAUCUAUGGCAAUGAUUAUAUCUAUAGCCAUCACGUCCAAAACAAGUAGACCGAUACUGUCUGCAUCUACUACUAUUACUCCACACGUCAACCGCUAUCCAGCAUGCAUCUAGUGUAUUAAGUCCAAAAGAACAGAGUAAUGCCUUAAGCAAGAUGACAUGAUGUAGAUGGACAAUCUCAUAUCAACGACAGAGCCCAGCUUGUUACCCUUGAUGGCAACGACUUAAUGUGUGCCUUGCUGCCCCUACUGUCACUGGGAAAGGUCACCACAUGGUAGAGACCAAAACCAAGCACUUCUCCCAUUGCAAGAAUCAUAGAUCUAGUUGGCNNNNNNNNNNNNNNNNNNNNNNNNNNNNNNNNNNNNNNNNNNNNNNNNNNNNNNNNNNNNNNNNNNNNNNNNNNNNNNNNNNNNNNNNNNNNNNNNNNNNUACCCCAGCAACCACAACAACCAUUCCCCCAGCAACCACAACAACCUUUUCCUCAGCCCCAACAACCAUUCCCUUGGCAACCACAACAACCAUUUCUCCAGCCCCUACAACUAUUUCCCUAGCAAGCACAACAACCAUUACCCUUGCAACCACAACUACCAUUUCCGCAGCCCCAACAACCAAUUGGACAGCAACCACAACAACCAUUCCUGCGGCAACCACAACAAAUAAUUCCCCAGCAACCACAACAACCAUUCCCCCUGCAGCCGCAACAACCAUUCCCCGAACAACCACAACAAACACUUCCCCAACAACCACAACAAAUAAUUUCCCAGCAACCACAACAACCAUUCCCCAGCAACCUCAACAACCAUUCCUUCUGCAGCCACACCAACCUCAGCAACCUUAUGCACAACAAGACAUCUAGAGUGAUUUAGCCCUCUUGGGCUAAUGAAGCAAAAAGUUGUAAUACUAGAUGGGUGUAUCAUCGUUUUUUAGUCAAUGAGUGUUCAGUGUAAUGAUGAUAAAUAAAGUGAUGUGCACCAUCAUGUGUAAUCCCGACCUAUACUAGNNNNNNNNNNNNNNNNNNNNNNNNNNNNNNNNNNNNNNNNNNNNNNNNNNNNNNNNNNNNNNNNNNNNNNNNNNNNNNNNNNNNNNNNNNNNNNNNNNNNAUUCUGAGGUUGCCCUCCUGCUAGAUAGAAUUUCCCCCAUCAGAUAGAAUUUCCCCCAUCAGACCAUGACGGAUCAAGUAACAUAAACCACGUGUCUUCCAAUGCCAUAGAUCAAUGGAUGGAGACAAACUUCAUAACACCUAGAAUAAAUGUGUGUAAUAUAGAUUAGUAUAGCAAAAAUGGAUUAAAGCCAGCAGUUAUUAUAAAGUCCUACCAUAUGGAUGGUUAUUGAAUACUCUAAUUAGUAUUGUAAUAGAAUAGAUAGAUGGACAAAUGAACAAAUAAAACAACACAAAAUUUUGAAGAUACAUACCUCAGUUUAGUCUGUGGAGAAGCGGCUAUGAAAUCCAAAGUUNNNNNNNNNNUGAUGGGUGGAAGCAUCCAGCUACACAACACAAUUUGUAAAUACUAGUUGAGCAACACACGAAUCUGAUUGGAAAAAUAAGAGAUGACAAAAACACUGGUUGCAUCUGAGGAGGAACUCUACACAGGCAGAGGCCACGGACAGACACAUGCAACUUCUAAACCUUGCAGCCGUUACACAAAUCCUACCUUGCAGUUGUGACACAGAUCUAUCGAGGACAAAUUCUGAGGUUGCCCUCCUGCUAGAUAGAAUUUCCCCCAUCAGACCAUGACGGAUCAAGUAACAUAAACCNNNNNNNNNNNNNNNNNNNNNNNNNNNNNNNNNNNNNNNNNNNNNNNNNNNNNNNNNNNNNNNNNNNNNNNNNNNNNNNNNNNNNNNNNNNNNNNNNNNNGGCUUUCCUGCCUUGGCCCUCAAGUCCCCUCAUCUUCUUCCGUUCUGGAAAAAAUUAUUUUGGAGAUUUUAUUCCGUUUGGACUCCGUUCCAAAAUCAGAUAUGAAAAGAGUCAAAAACACAGAAAAAACAGGAACUGGCACUUGGCACUGAUUUAAUAAGUUAGUCCCAAAAAAGAUAUAAAAGGUACAUAAAACAUCCAAAGUUGACAAGAUAACAUCAUGAAACCAUCAAAAAUUAUAGAUACGUUUGAGACGUAUCAAGCAUUCCCAAGCUUAACUCCUACUCGUCCUCGAGUAGGGAAGUGAUAAAGAAUGAAUUUUUGAUGCUUUCNNNNNNNNNNGUUAUGUGACGUGAAAGUUCAGAUCCAUUAGAUUCUAAACAAUAGUUUGCUAUUAACGUGGAAACAAUAAUACUUCAAGCAAACUAGCACGGUAAUCAUGAACUUUCAAAAUAGCAAGGCCAAAAUAAAGUUAAACCUACAAAAACAUAUAGUCUGGCUAUGCUCUAUCAUCAUUGCACAACGAAUUUAAAUCAUGCACAACCCCGGUAUUGGCCAAGCAAUACAUGAGCGUGAGCCAUGGUUUUAGAACUAUAAGUGGUGUGGAGUGUGGUGGAGGUUGCAAGAAAAACAAGGAAAAGAUGGUCACAUUAACUAGGCAUAUCAAUGAGCUGUGGAGAUGAUCAUCAAUAGAUAUCAAUGUGAAUGAGUAGGGAUUGCUAUACAAAUGAUGCACUAGAGCUAAGAGUAUGUGAAAGCUCUUAAAGAAAACUAGUGGGUGUGCAUCCAACUUGCUUGCUCACGAAGCCCUAAAGCAAAUUUGAGGAAGCCUAUCAUUGGAAUAUACAAGCCAAGUUAUAUAAUGAAAAUUUCCCACUAGCUAUAUGGUGGUGACAAAAUGAGAGACUCUCAAUCAUGAAGAUCAUGGUGCUUAAUAAGCACAAGUGUGGAAGGAUAGUAGCAUUGUCCCUUCUCUCUUUUUCUCUCAUAUUUUUUUGGUGGGCUCUUGGGCCUCUUUUUUUAAAUUUUGGUGGGCAUCUUUGGCCUCUUUUAUUUCCUCACAUGGGAAAAUGCUCCAUCAAUUAUGAUCAUUACACUUACAACUCAAAACUUAGAACAACGAUGACUCUAUAUGGAAUGCCUUCGGUAGUGUACCGUGGCAAUGAUCUANNNNNNNNNNCAUGCUAGCUAUCUUACGAUCAUGCAAUGGCAAUGUAGACGUGGUGGUACAUGUCAUGGUGGUAGUUGCAUGGCAACAUAUCUCGGAAUGACUUUGAAAAAGCCAUAGUAGGUAGGUAUGGUGGCUGUUUUGAGGGAGGCUAAUGGUGGGUUUUGUGCACCGGCGAAAGUUGCACGGCACUAAGAAGAUAAUGAUGGUGGAAGGUGAAAGUGCAUCUAAACCAUGGACUCAACAUUAAUCAUGAAGAACUCAUAUACUUGUUGCAAAAGUGUUAGUAGUAAUCGAAACAAAGCAUUCAACGCAUACUCCUAGGGGAAGGGUUGGUAGGUAUAAACCAUCGCGCGAUCCCGACCGCCACACAAAGGAUGACAAUCAAUAGACUAAUCAUGCUCAGACUUCAUCACAUUGCGGUUCACCAUACGUGCAUGCUACGGGAAUCACUAACUUCAACACAAGUAUUUCUAGAUCCACAACACCUUACUAGCAGAACUUCAAUAUUGCCACAACCACAACUCAAAAUUGAUUGAGAUGAAUCAAACUUCUCUAACUAUUCAAUGCACAUGAAGGUGGAAGUUUUCAUAUCCCUUUGGAUAACUAUCCCUUUUGAGACUACUUUCAAAGCAUAGAUCAACUACCAAGCCACGCACCGUCGUGCUCUAAAAGAUAUAAGUGAAGCACAUAGAGAAAAAUCAACUAGCUCAAAAGAUAUAAGUGAAGCACAUGUGAGCUGAUUUGUCUACCAAUGGAUAUAAGUGAAGCUCGACAAAAUCACGGUGAGUGCAUGUCUCUCUCUCUAGGUGUGCAGAAAGGAUGAUUGUGACACAACAAAAAUAAAAGACUCCUACGAUACAAGAUGCUCCAAGAAAAACACAUAACAUGUGGUGAAUAAAAAUAUAGCCCCAAGUAACGUUACCGAUGGAUUGAAGACGAAAGAGGGGAUGCCUUCCCGGGGCAUCCCCAAUCUUAGGCUUUUACGGCAUCCUUGAAUCAUCUUGGGGUGCCUUGGGCAUCCCCAAGCUUGAGCUCUUGCCACUCUUUAUCUUUUUGUCCAUAAGAACUUCACCCAAAACUUGAAAACUUCACAACACGAAACAUAAACAGAAACUCGUGAUAACAUUAGUAUAAGAAAGCAAACCACCACUUCCUUCGGUAAUGUAGCAAACAUAAUUUCUACUUAUGUUGAUGUUGGGUUACUAUAUUUUCAAUCUUCUAAGGCUAAUACCCACCGAUACUAUCCAUAGUUUCAUCAAAAUAAGCAACCAACUCAACAAAAACAGAAUCUGUUAACAGCAAACCAGUCUGUAGCAAUUUGUAUACUCCGUAUACUUCUGGUAAUUCCAAAAUUCUGAAAAAUUACGAAAGUCUGAAGAAUUUGCGUAGAAAUCAGAAGCAAAAAAAAUUAACUCAAAAUAUCUUACAUAAAAAAAUGAAAAUUCUUUUCGUGAGCAGAAAGUUUCUGUCUUUUCUAGCAUGACCAAACGAUCAUCCCCAAGACUGAUCAUAACGGUUUUGCUUGGCACAAACGCAAAAAGAAACACAAAAAACACAAUCAUAACAAAAUUAUGAAAGUGUGGAAAACACAAAACAGAAAGAAAAAGGAUAGAUUCGUUGGGUUGCCUCCCAACAAGCACUAUUGUUUAACGCCCUUAGCUAGUCAAAAGGUGAUGGAAUCACGUAUAGUCAUCUUUGGUGCUCAAACCAUAAGUAGUGUGAUCAUUUAUCAUCUUAAGAUCUUCAUAUUUAUUGGAUGACUCACCACUAGCUUUAGGAACAAAAACAGUCUUGAUGGUCUUUUUGAGAGUGAGAUUUGGAGUAUUUUGCACAGCGGCAAAAGCGGAACCCAAGUUGGUUACGACAUCCUCUAGUUUACCAAUUCUAGAGGAAUCAUUAACUAUGGGUUCCUUCUCCCUUAAAUUUUUCAAGAACAUUCCCACUUUGGAUCCAUACUGAGUAAUUUGAUUGUGGAACUUUCUAUCCAAACUCUCAAUAAGUUCAACUGUAGCAAUUUUUUUAUCAAUAGCGUCAAGCCUUUUCAUCACGUGUUCCAAGGUCAAGGUAGUUUAAUUAAUCAUGAGCGGGGGUGAGCCAACCAAAUUCAUGAUAGCUCCAUAAGAGUCAAAGGUAUGGCUCCCCAAAAAAUUCCCGCCUACGAUGGUAUCAAGUAUAUACCUAUUCCAAGGAGAGAUUCCAACAUAAAAACUGCGAAGAAGAAUGGUAGUGGAUUGCUUACGAGUAGAUCUACUUUGAGCAUUGCAAAUCCGGUACCAAGCGUCCUUUAAAUUUUCUUCCUCAUUUUGCCUGAAAUUGAGAACUUCGUUCUCAGGGGUAUCGUUUGGAGUAGUGGGUCUAGCCAUUGAUGGACUAUCCCACACACAAACGAGCAGAAAGUAAGCGAGUGAAGCGAGCAAAAGAGAACGGCAAAGGAAGACGGCAAAAAGUCAAAAGGAAAUGGCAAAAGGGGAAAGACAAAAGAAAACGGCAAAUGUGAAGUGGGGGAGAGGAAAACGAGAGGCAACUGGCAAAAAAGGUAAAUACAAGAGAUGAUUUUGUGAGACCUACUUGGAUAGACUCUCCUUCCCCGGCAACAGCGCCAGAAAUACUUCUACUACUGCAAAAAAAGACCUUCCAACGGCGCCAGAAACAAGCGUGCUGACAGGAAACUAUUCUUGUCUUGAUACUCCUGAGCAACGGCACCAGGAAUCCUUCUGCUACGGCUACGCCUUUAGGGACUUCCUUGGCAAAUAUGCAAAGGAUUCCCCCGUGGCCUUGGAGCCUUGCGUUGGUGUUCCCUCGAAGCGGAAAGGGUGAUGUAGCAGAGCGGUGGUAAGUAUUUCCCUCAGUUUUGAGAACCAAGGUAUCUAUCCAGUGAAGGAUUGUCACAAGUACCUGCACAAACACAAAGAGCUUGCACCCAACGCUAUGAAGGGGUUGUCAAUCCCUUAUAGAUUGUUUGCCAAGUGAGAACUGAAAGCAAAAAAGAACCAAAGCAAAGUAAAAGCAAAAUUGGAAACGAUAGGUGUGCAUAGACCCGGGGGCCGUAGUGUUUAUGAAAGCAAGUAGACGGUGGAUGAACGAAUUACUGUCGAGCAAUUGAUAGAACCGCGCAAAGUCGUGACGUUAUCUAUGGCAAUGAUUAUAUCUAUAGGCAUCACAUCCAAAACAAGUAGACCGAUACUUUUUGCAUCUACUACUAUUACUCCACACGUCGACCGCUAUCCAGCAUGCAUCUAGUGUAUUAAGUUCAUGAGAAUAGAGUAACCCCUUAAGCGAGAUGACAUGAUGUAGAUGGACAAUCUCAUAUCUACAAUAAAAGCCCAUCUUGUUACCCUUGAUGGCAACAACACGAUGUGUGCCUUGCUGCCCCUUCUGUCACGGGAAAGUUCACCACACGGUAUGAACCCAAAACCAAGCACUUCUCCCAUUGCAAGAAUCAUAGAUCUAGUUGGCCAAACAAAACCCAAGACUUGGAGAGACUUACGAGGAUAUCAAAUCAUGCAUAUAAGAAAACAGUAAAGACUCAAAUAUAUAUCAUAGAUAAUCUGAUCACAAAUCCACAGUUCAUCGGAUCUCGACGAACAUACCGCCAAACAGGAUUACAUCGGACAGAUCUCCAUGAAGAUCAUGGAGAACUUUGUAUUGAAGAUCCAAGAGAGAGAAGAAGCCAUCUAGCUACUAACUACGGACCCGUAGGUCUGAAGUGAACUACUCACGAGUCAUUGAAAGAGCGAUGAUGUUGAUGUAGAGCCCUCCAACUCCAAAGUCCCCUCCGGCAGGGCACCGGGAAGGGUCUNNNNNNNNNNCUCGCGGACACGGAAGCUUGCGGCGGCGGAAAAGUGUGUUCGUGGAUUCUCCUAUUUUUUCUGUAUUUUAGGGAAUAUAUAGGCGAAGGAGCUAGGUCAGGGGGCGCCAGGGAGGCCACAAGCCUGGUAGCCGCCGCCCCCCUGGUGGCGGCUACAGGGCUUGUGGGUCCCCUGUGGCUCUCCUGCCUUGGCCCUCAAGUCCCCUGAUCUUCUUCCGUUCUGGAAAAUUUUAUUUCGGAGAUUUUAUUCCGUUUGGACUCUGUUCCAAAAUCAGAUAUGAAAAGAGUUAAAAAACAGAAAAAACAGGAACUGGCACUUGGCACUGAAUUAAUAAGUUAGUCCCAAAAAAGAUAUAAAAGGUACAUAAAACAUCCAAAGCUGACAAGAUAACAUCAUGAAACCAUCAAAAAUUAUAGAUACAUUUGAGACGUAUCAGUGGCCGCCGCUCCGUGUCGUAGAUCACAAUGGAAACUUCUCUUUGAUUUUUUGCUAAAUAUGCGAAUUUAUAGGACUAGAGAUAGGGUUGGGCGAGCCUCGUGGAGCCCACCACACAACAGGGUGCGACCUAGGGGGCGGCCUCACCAUGUUGCCUCGUGGCCAUGAGGAACACACCCCCCUCUGGCGCGUCUUUGCUUCAUAAUUCAUUAUAAUUGCUAGAAAAAAUUCACAAUGUUUUUUGUCCAAUUCCAAGAACUAUUAUUGAUGCACAAAAAUAACACCAAGGUAGUUCUGCUGAAAACAGCAUCAGUGCGGGUUAGUUUCAUUUAAAUCAUGCAAAUUAGAGUCCAAAACAUGAGCAAAAGUGUUUAUACAAGUAGAUACGUUGGAGAAGUAUCAGCCAUUGACAAGUAGGAACACCCGUGUACUGUCAGAAUGCUUUGAUAAUUGUUACGUGAUGUGGACGGCUAGGCUAAGGCACUACAUAUGUAGGGUGAAGAUGGUUCACAUAUGAAAUCAUGGCCCUCGGGCCCUAGUGGCAAGCAUUAAGCAUGGUAAGGUCAUAGGAACACUAUCACAGAACAUAGUGGAUACUAGGGAUCAAGAAAUAUCAAAAUAACUCGAUAACAUGACAAAUAUCGUCCAAUCCCAUCACCGUCCAGCUAGCAUACAAAGUAAGUACUCACUCCCGGUGGUGAGCAUUACGAUGGUCUUGAUGGAGAAGGAUUGGUGAUGACGACGGCAAUUAAUCUCCCUCUUCAGACCCUAAACGGACUUCAGAUCAUCCCCCUUGAAGAACAAUAGGAGCUGGCAGCGGCUCUGUCUCGUAGAACACAAUGAAAACUUCUCUGCUACUUUUCACCGGAAAUAGGAAUUUAUAGGAUUGGAAUUAGGGUAUAUGGAGCCACGAGGUGGUCACAAGCCAAGAGGGCACGCCUGGGGGGGGGGGGGGGGNNNNNNNNNNNNNNNNNNNNNNNNNNNNNNNNNNNNNNNNNNNNNNNNNNNNNNNNNNNNNNNNNNNNNNNNNNNNNNNNNNNNNNNNNNNNNNNNNNNNCGAAAGCAAAGUGUUUGUUUCUAGAAACGGAUCCUUUCUCGAGGAAAGGUUUCUCUCGAAAGAAUUGAGUGGGAGGGUGGUAGAACUUGAUGAGGUUAUUGAACCAUCACUUCAACCAGUGUGUAGCAGGGCGCAGGAAGUUGUUCCCGUGGCGCCUACACCAAUUGAAGUGAAAGCUAAUGAUGGUGAUCAUCGAGCAUCGGAUCAAGUUACUACAAACCUCUUAGGUUGACAAGGUCGCGUACUACUGCAGAGUGGUACGGUAACCCUGUCUUGGAGGUCAUGUUGUUGAGCAACAGUGAACCUACGAGUUAUGGAGAAAGCAAUGGUGGGCCCCGAUUCUGAAAAAUGGCUGGAAGCCAUGAAAUCCGAGAGAGGAUCCAUGUAUGAAAACAAAGUGUAGACUUUGGAAGAACUACUUGAUGGUCAUAGGACUAGUGAGUAAAGAUGGAUCAUUAAAAGGAAGACAGAUGAUGAUAGUGAUAAGUCACUAUUAAGAAAAGCUCGACUUGUCGCAAAGAUGUUUCUGACAAGAUCAAACAGUUGACUAUGAUGAGACUUUCUCACUCGUAGCGAUGCUGAAAGUCUGUUAGAAUUAUGUUAGUAGUUGCUGCAUUAUUUAUGAAAUAUUGCACAUAGGAUGUCAAAACAUUGUUUCCUCGACGGUUUCCUUGAGCAAACAUUGUAUGUGAUACAACCAGAAGGUUUUGUCGAUCCUAAAGAUACUAGCAAGUAUGCAAGCUCCAGUGAUCCUUCAAUGGACUGGUGCAAGCAUCUCGGAGUUAGAAUAUACACUUUGAUGAGAUGAUCAAAGAUUUUGGGUGUGUACAAGGUUUAUGAGAAACUUGUAUUUCCAAAGAAGUGAGUGGGAGCACUAUAGAAUUUCUGAUAGGAAUAUGUGGUUGACAUAUUGUGGAUCAGAAGUAAUGUAGAAUUUCUGUAAACCAUACAAGGUUGUUUGAAAGAAGUUUUCAAAGGAGUACCUGGAUUACGCUACUUGAACGUUGAGCAUCUAUGGAGAUAGAUCGAAAGCGCUUAAUAGAAGUUUCAACAAGAUGCAUGCCUUGACAAGUUUUUGAAAGAGUUCAAAAUAGAUCAACAAAGAAGGACUUCUUGGUUGCGUUAUGAGGUGUGAAUUUGAGUAAGACUCAAAAGCCGACCCCGGCAGAAUAAAGAGAAUAGACGAAGGUCGUCUUCUAUGCCUUGGCCGUAGAAUCUGAAGUAUGCCAUGCUGGGUACCGUACCUGAUGUGUGCCUUGACUCAAAGUCUGUUGAGAGGUAGAGAGAGUGAUCCAUGAUUGAAUCACUAGCAGCGGUCAAAAUUUAUCCUNNNNNNNNNNAGCCGUAGAAUCUAAAGUAUGCCAUGCUGUGUACCGCACCUGAUGUGUGCCUUGACUCAAAGUAUGUUGAGAGGUACAGAGAGUGAUCCAUGAUUGAAUCACUAGCAGCGGUCAAAAUUUAUCCUUAGUAACUGAUGGACUAAGGAAUUUUUCUCGAUUAUGGAGAGGUUAAAGAGUUCGUCGUAAAGGGUUACGUCGAUGCAAGCUUUGACACUAAUCCGAAUAACUAUGAGUAGUGAAACGGAUUCGUAUAGUAGAGUAGAUAUUUGGAGUAUUUCCAAAUAGCACAUAGUAGCAGCAUCUAUAAGAUGACAUAAAGAUUUGUAAAGAACACACGGAUCUGAAAGUUUCAGAACCGUUGACUAAAACCUCUCUCACGAGCAAGACGUGAUCAGACCCCAUAACUAUAUGGGUGUUGGAUUCGUUGGAAUCACAUGGUGAUGUGAACUACAUUAUUGACUCUAGUGCAAGUGGGAGACUGUUGGAAAUAUGCCCUAGAGGCAAUAAGAAAUUAGUUAUUAUUAUAUUUCUUUGUUCAUGAUAAUCGUUUAUUAUCCAUGCUAUAAUUGUAUUGAUUGGAANNNNNNNNNNNNNNNNNNNNNNNNNNNNNNNNNNNNNNNNNNNNNNNNNNNNNNNNNNNNNNNNNNNNNNNNNNNNNNNNNNNNNNNNNNNNNNNNNNNNAAAUGGUUGUUGUGGUUGUUGGGGGAAUGGUUGUGGUUGUAGAGGGAAUGAUUGUUGGGGAAUUAUUUGUUCUGAUUCCUGGGGAAAUGGUUGUUGCGGUUGUAGGGGGGAUGCUUGUUGGGGUCACUGCUGGGGGACUAGUUGGGGUUGGGGAAAUGGCUGUUGAGGUUGCAGAGGCUAUGAUUGUUGGGGUUGCUCGAAAAUUAUUUGUUGUGGUUGUUGGGGAAAUGGUUGUUGUGGUUGUUUGGGGAAUGGUUGUUGUGGUUGCAGAGGGAAUGGUUGUUGUGGUUGCUGGGGAAUUAUUUGUUGCGGUUGCCGCGAGACUGGUUGUUGUGGUUGCUGCACAAUUGGUUGUUGGGGCUGCGGAAAUGGUUGUUGUGGUUGCCAGGGGAAUGGUUGUUGUGGUUGCUGGGGAAAUGGUUGUUCAGGUUGGGGAAAUGGUUGUUGUGGUUGCUGGGGAAAUGGUUGUUGGGGCUGAGGAAAAGGUUCUUGCGGUUGCUGGGGAAAUGGUUGUUGUGGUUGCUGGGGUAUUAUUUGUUGUGGUUGCUGGGUGAAUGGUUCUUGUGGUUGGUAGGGAAUUGGUUGUUGGGGUUGGGGCAAUGGUUGUUGUGGUUGCGAGGGGAAUGGUUGUUGGGUCUGAGGAAAAGGUUGUUGUGGUUGCUGGGGGAAUGGUUGUUGUGGUUGCUCGGGAAUUAUUUGUUGUGGUUGCUGGGGGAAUGGUUGUUGUGGUUGCUGGGGAAUUGGUUCUUGGGGCUGGGGAAAUGGUUGUUGUGGUUGCCACGGGAAUGGUUGUUGGGGCCGAGGAAGAGGUUGUUGUGGUUGUUGGGGGAAUGGUUGUUGUGGUUGUAGGGGGGUUGGUAUUUGAUAUUGGGGAAACAAUUCCUCUGGUAGAUAGGGGAAAUAUUGUUGGGGUGUGGGAAAUGGUUGCUGCACUGGAAAUGGUUGUUGCNN